rnacentral:rRNA from 1 species
CGAACGGGUGAGUAACACGUGAAUAACCUACCUCAAAGCAGGGGAUAACAUUUGGAAACAGAUGCUAAUACCGUAUAAAACGUGCUGUCGCAUGACAAAACGUUAAAAGGUCCGUUUGGACCACUUUUUGAUGGAUUCGCGGUGCAUUAGUUAGUUGGUGGGGUAAAGGCUCACCAAGACGAUGAUGCAUAGCCGAGUUGAGAGACUGACCGGCCACAUUGGGACUGAGACACGGCCCAAACUCCUACGGGAGGCUGCAGUAGGGAAUCUUCCACAAUGGGCGCAAGCCUGAUGGAGCAACGCCGCGUGUGUGAUGAAGGCUUUCGGGUCGUAAAGCACUGUUGUAUGGGAAGAACGGUAAGGGUAGGAAAUGAUCUUUACAUGACGGUACCAUACCAGAAAGGGACGGCUAAAUACGUGCCAGCAGCCGCGGUAAUACGUAUGUCCCGAGCGUUAUCCGGAUUUAUUGGGCGUAAAGCGAGCGCAGACGGUUCGAUAAGUCUGAAGUGAAAGCCCACAGCUCAACUGUGGAAGUGCUUUGGAAACUGGUCGAACUUGAGUGCAGUAGAGGUAAGUGGAACUCCAUGUGUAGCGGUGGAAUGCGUAGAUAUAUGGAAGAACACCAGUGGCGAAGGCGGCUUACUGGACUGCAACUGACGUUGAGGCUCGAAAG